AGUGGAAGAGUUCCGGAGAACAUCUGCGCUGUGUGUCGAUGCACCUUACGAGAGAAUAAGACCAGUAAGCAAGGCAACUGCAAUGAAGCAUCAAGAAAGACAUGAGCAGGCCAGCCACCCUGAGACUGAUAAUUCAUGGGAACAUAUUUCUGUCACUAACAAAGUGGAUGGUGAG